AUUCAUCUUUUAGAAACUAUAAAUACUGAAUAUCAUACAUAUAUACAUAAAUAUAGGUAACUGCAGAUUUUGUUGUCAUUCUUUCUAAUUCUCUUUUUAAUGCCUGCUAAUAGGCCAUCUUAUGGAUUAUUAUAUUGAUGUUACCUGUACACAACCAUCAGGCAUUUCCACUGUUGAAUGUGUUUAUGUGUACAGGCAGUUUUGUUUGUGUAUACAUGAAUGCACAUUUGAUGGAGAUAGCACUGACAGUAAUACUGUGAGAAAUCCUAACGCUGAUUUCAUACUUUCUGUCCUCCGCAGAGAUGGCUGUCAUUGAAGUAGACCACAGGGCCCCCUUUUGCUGUUAUGGACUGAAAUGUGCCUCCCUAAAACUCAAACACUGAAGUGCUAACCACCAACAUGACUCUACCUGAAGAAAGUGCUUUUAAGCAGAUCAAAUGAUAGAUGUGUCUGCCUCAUCGGAGAAAGUCUUCUGGAAAAAUGAGCCUAUUAGGACCUUGAUCUGAUAUUUUCAACCUCACAACUCUGAGAAGGAAAGCGGUGGAAGAUGGCCCAAGUCCUUGGGCAGCUGCACCUGUGUGGGAGACCCAGAAGAAGCUCCUGGUUCCUGGCAUCGGAUCAGUACAGCUCCAGCCAUUGUGACCAAUUGAUAAUAUAGAGCACCCUAGGCCCUCCCAAGGGCAGGAAACAGACCAAGAGCUCAUAGACUGGCUGCAACUGCAAGAAGCAGAUGAAGAUAUCAUCAGAAAGAUACAUAUUCCUGAAGUGUGGCUGCUGAGCAGUUCUGCCCUUAUGGAUCUCACCUCUGUUUCAGAUCAUUAAAGAAAGUUACAUGCUUUUUGACAUUUCUAAAGAUUUCACUAAUGAGAAUCUAAGAUAUCUUCACUACGCUAAGAGCCUCAGAACAGCCCAAAGACUUGGGCCAUUUUCUACUGCUUUCCCAGGCCAUAGCAGAGAGCUGGAUCAGAAGAGGAGCAGCCGGGACUAGGACCGGAGCCCAUAUGGGAUGCUGGCACUUCAGGCCAGUGCUUUAACCUGCUGUGCCACAGCACUGGCCACAAUGUAGUAUUUCUAAUAGAAGAGUUGGUUAAGUCAUUAACUCCUCUAAAAUACAAGUUAAGUGUUAGUUUUUAAACUUUGAUUCAUUCAUGAGAAAAAUAAAAGGUUAAUUUUCUCUCUUUGCUUCUGGGUAUGUAAAUUUUAUUCUAAGAAAUUAAUCAUGACUUUUACAUCUCAGACCCUAUUAUGAGUAAGUAGAGAAUAUUCUAUCAAAGGAACAUUUCUCCAAUUAAAGAAAACACUAUGGGCAUCCCAUAUGGGCACUGGUUUAGUCCUUGCUGCUCCACUUCUGAUCCAGCUCCUUGCUAUGGUCUGGGAAAGCAGUAGAAAAUGGCCCAAGUGCUUGGGCCCAUGCACAUGCAUGGGAGACCUUGAAGCUCCUGGCUCCUAGCUUUGGAUGAGCCCAGCUCCAGACAUUGCAGCCAACUGGAAAGUGAACCAGCAAAUGGAAGACUUCUCUCUCUCUCUAUGUAACUCUGCCUUUCAAAUAAAUAAAUAAAUCUUUGAAAAAAAAAAAGAUGUCCAAGUCUUACAUCAGAGUACUGGGGUUCAGUGCCUAGCUCUGGUUUCUAACUCCAGCUUCCUGCAAAUACCGAUCCUAUAAGGCAGCACUGAUGGCUCAAGUAUUCAGGUUUCUGCCCACACAUGGGAGAUUAAGAUUGAGUUCAUGGGCUGGCGCCAUGGCUCACUUGGUUAAUCCUCUGCCUGUAGCACUGGCAUCCCAUUUGGGUGCCGGGUUCUAGUCCUGGUUAUUCUUCUUCCAGUCCAGCUCUCUGCUGUGGCCCGGGAGGGCAGUGGAGGAUGGCCCAAGUGCUUGGGCUCCUGCACCUUCAUGGGAGACCAGGAAGAAGCACCUGGCUCCUGGCUUUGAAUUGGCAUAGUGCCAGCUGUAGUGGCCAUUUGGGGAAUGAGCCAGCAGACGGAGACCUUUCUUUCUGUUUCUCUCACUAUCUUUAUCUCUACCUGUCAAAUAAAUAAAAAAAAUUGAGUUCACACUCCUGGCUUCAGACUGACCCAGUUCUGGCUGUUGCAGGCAUUUUGGGGAGUAAAGCAGAGAAUCAGAGUGCAUUUUCAUUCUCUCUCCCUCUGCCUCCCAAUUAAGUAAAAAAAAAAAAAAUUAAAGAAACUCAAACUGGACUAAAGGUAAUAAUAUAGGUAAGUGUCCCACUUCUUUCAUAUGACUAACCACUAGGUACUAAAAGUUUUCAUUUUUUCCACUCACCACAUCCUUUUCCCAUGACAUUUAAUUUCCUAGGUUUUAAAUUUUCUUUUCCCUAGGUAAAAUGUGACCACUUGGUGCCAAUGCUGUAGCAUGAGGUAAGACACUGCCUGCAAUGCCGGUAUUCCAUAUGGGUGCUAGCUGAGUCCCUGCAGCUCCCCUUCCAAUCUGGCUUCCUGCUAAUGGUCCCAGAAAAGCAACAGAAGAUAACUGGGGCCUUGCCACCCACAUGGGACACCCAGAUGAAGUUCCUGUCUUCAGUCUGGCCCAGCCCAGGCCACUGCAGCCACCUGAGGAGUAAACCAGCAGAUAGAUAAUCUCUCUUCCACUCUGCUACAUUUUCAAAUACAUGCAUGAAUCUUCCUUCCAACGGCAAAGGAAGACCUUUCUCUCUGUCUCUCUCGCUCACUGUCCACUCUGCCUGUCCAAAAAAAAAAAAAAAAAGGAAAAAAUAAAAAUAAAAACCACUUAAGCUUUCAAAGGUAUACAAUAAAGAAGCUUACAGCACUGAUAAAUUCAGGACCUAAAACAUCUUAAUGAUUGAAAAAAGCAAAGCAAAGAGCAAUAUACAGAAAAGCAUAUAUUUUGGUCCCUAAAUUUCUAAACCAUGAACAUGAUUAUUACAUAAAUAUAUUUAUAUAUUUUUAAGAUUUGUUUUAUUUACUUGAGAAAGGUAUUCCAUCUGCUGGUUCAUUCCCCAAAUUACUGAAAACCUGGGGAUGGGCCAGGGCAAAGCCAGGAGUAGGGGCCAGUGCUAUGGCACAGCAGAUUAACACCCUGGCCUGUAGCACUGGCAUCCCAUAAGGGCACUGGUUCAAGACCCAGCUGCUCCACUUCUGAUUGAGCUUUCAGCUUAUGGCCUGGGAAAGCAGUAGGAGAUGGCCCAAGUCCUUGGGCCCCUGCAACUAAGUGGGAGACAUGGAAGAAGCUCCUGGUUCCUGGCUUCAGAUCAGUGCAGCUCCAGCCAUUGCAACCAUUUGGGGAGUAAACCAUCAGAUGGAAGACCUCUCUCUCUCUCUCUCUCUCUCUCUCUCUGUGUGUGUGUGUGUGUGUGUGUGUCUGUGUGUAUAACUCAAAUUAACAAAUCUUUAAAAAAAAUCCAGGAGUCAGGGAAAUUUCAUCCAGGUCUCUCACUUGGGUGCAGGACCCAAGGAUUUGUACCAUAUUCUGCUGCUUUCCCAGGUAUGUUAGUAGGGAGCUGGAUCAGUAGUAGAACAUGCAAUUGGUGCCCAUAGAGGAUGCUAGUGCUGCAGGUGCUGGUAUAACCCAUUUUGCCACAGUGCUGGCCCUGUAACAAUGUUUAAUUCCUAGUAAUUAACAGGGAAGAAAGAAGUAUGGCAGGAUACCUUUUUUUAAAAAAAUUAUUUUAUGUAUUUGAAAAAGUUAUAUAGAGAGGUAGAGAGUGAGGUAGAGAGAAAGAGAGAGAGAGAGAGACAGACAGAGAGAGAGAGAGAGAGAGAGAGAGAAUCUUCUGUCUGCUGGUUCACUCCCCAAAUGGCUACAAUGGACAGAGCUGAGCUGAUCUUAAUCCAGGAGCCAGGAGCUUGGGCGAAAAGGCCCAAGGACUUGGGCCAUCCUCUACUGCUUUCCCAGGUGCAUUAGCAGGAGGCUGGACUGGAAGUGGAGCAUCUGGGACUCUACCAGCACUCAUAUGGGAUGCCUGUAUUUCAGGCCAGGGCUUUAACCUGAUGUGCCACAGUGCUGGCUCCAACAGGUGACCUUUUACUCUCAAUAAUCUCUUCUUGGUAUUGGCAGCAGUUUAUAAUUUUUUUGUUUAUUUGCCUUCUUCUUAAUCUAUAUUUGUAAAAACUUACAACAAGUUCCAGCACCCUGAGAACCUCCAUCACAAGGGCAUACAAUCAGAUGUUUGUCCAGAAAAGGGUGGUGUAGAUGCAACGUGGAAAAUGCAAGGUGAGUUGAUUCAUCCUUCUCAGGCUGUGGUUUCCAUGGGCAACUUUUACAACCAACUGCCUUAUUUGUUCCUCUUCCACAGAGUAGAAAACAUGUUAAGUCAUCCUAUUUAGCCAAAAGCCAGUGGCAGCACUUAAAUAUGUCAUCAAUCCAGGGCCAGCAUUGUGGCACAAAGGGGUAAGUUGCCAACUGCAACAGCAGCAUGCCUUAUGGCACUGCUUUGAGACUCACCUCCUUCACUUCUCAUCCAGCUCUUUGCUUGGGAAAGCAGCAAAGAUUGCCCAAGAGUUUGGGUUCCUGCACCCACAUGGGGGACUGGGACAGAGUUCCAGGGUCCUGGUUUCGGCCUGGCUCAGCCCCAGCUAUUGUGGCCAUCUGGAAGUGAGCCAGCAGAUGAAAGACAGAGAUCUCUCUCUCUCUCUCUCUUCCUUUUACCUAAACAUACAUUACAUAAAUAAAUGAAAAUGCAUCCAUAUAGCAACUUUUUGAGGAAAAGUCUUCUGAUUAUUGCAGGUAUUGUCUCAAUGCAUAAAAAUAUUCAGAUACAAAAAUUCUAAACUGAUUUAUAUUUAUAUUUGGCAACCACAUACUUUUCAGAAAAAAUUGUCUGCCAUUCAGUAUCAGGUAUCAGUCUGAAAGCAUUCAUUAAAAAAAUCAAGUAAUUUUACUAAACACAAAAACCUCUAGUAUAGGCUGCAUAUAAACCAGUUGCUUCCAUGGGUAUACACAGAUUGAUUUUUUUUUUUUGACAGGCAGAGUGGACAGUGAGAGAGAGAGACAGAGAGGAAGGUCUUCCUUUGCCGUUGGUUCACCCUCCAAUGGCUGCUGCGGCCAGCGAGCUGCGGCCGGCGCACCGCGCUGAUCCGAUGGCAGGAGCCAGGAGCCAGGUGUUUUUUUUCCUGGUCUCCCAUGGGGUGCAGGGCCCAAGCACUUGGGCCAUCUUCUACUGCACUCCCGGGCCACAGCAGAGAGCUGGCCUGGAAGAGGGGCAACCAGGACAGAAUCCGGCGCCCCGACCGGGACUAGAACCCGGUGUGCCGGCGCCGCUAGGUGGAGGAUUAGCCUAGUGAACCGCGGCGCCGGCCACAGAUUGAUUUUUGUUAAUUUACAGGGAUCACUGCACUUCCCUGGCAUGGAGCUGUCUGAAGAGUUUAAACACUGAUGGGUGUGGAAUUAUUUCUGAUAUUUGCUUAUUAUCCAGAGUGCAUUCAUUAAAUAUCUAUCAUGAACUUCACACUCUAUAAAUCUGUUUCAAAUAUGUUGGUAUUUAAUGGUACUUACACACUUCCAAACUGAGCUAAUCCUCCUAACUUCUCUCUGGAAUAGCCAUGCCUUUGACAUUGCCUUUUUUGCACACAUAUGGAAAUGCAUAAUAUGCUUCUGUAUGGUACUUCAGAGUUUAUAAAAGGCUUUUCAGGUAAGAUUUACAUAACAUCAUGUGAAAGUGGCCAAAGGACACAGUCUUCUCAUUACUGAGGGGAGAGGCAUGAAGUGACUCUCUGAACAGUUACUCAGAUUCUAUCAGUCAGGUUCAGAAUCUUAUUAGGUAUCAGAUACACAUCUAGAUUUUUUUCCCUACUGUCUCUUUGUCAGAAUUCCCAGCCUAUGAGUGAACUUCAGUCUGAAUGAAUGCUAAUAUUCAAGGUUCUAAGUGAAAAAAUUACUGAGGUUUGUAUUGGUGAGUAAAGCAUGUGUCUAAAUGUUACUUGUAUUUCAUAAUAAGUAUUGAAUCAUAUGAAACUGAAUAUAAGAUUAUGCAAAUUUUUAAGAUGAAGAGCAUAUAUUUAAAACCACAUUCUUACAUUUUGCAAACGUGUUGAAACACCUUACUGGAGCAUGUGUUUGGCAUAGUGGGAAAGCCUUCCACAUCCCAGUCAGAAUGCCCGGGGCUCAAGCCCUAGCCCUGCUUCUGCUUCUGGCUUCCUGCUAACAGAACCCUGGGAGGCAGCAGCUGAUGGCUCAAGUACUUGAGUCCCUGCCACCUAUGUGGGAGACCCACACUGAGUUCCUGGCUUCAGCCUGACCCAGCUCUGGUUGGUGCAGACAUUUGAGGAAUGAGCAGUAAAUGCAAGGGCUCUCUCUGCUUGCAAAUAAACAAAAAUAAAUAUACAGACCUUUUCUUAAGGUGUCUUGCUCACAUCUAAAUGAUUUCCCUUUUCACAGUAAAAUACCUAACUGUCCUCUUUAGUAGCAAUGCAUGUUUUGCUCUCCAUGUCCACUCCUAAGCUCCAAGUACUGGCAGCUCACCUUAGCAUGGUGACUGGUUCCAAUGUUCAAGUACUCAUCUCCCAUUCUCUUUUGGUGGGUCUACCAGAAAGAAAGGAGAGUGUCUACAGUGAUUAAUAUCUUACUGUUGCUCUUGCUGUCCACCUGCAGGCCUGAAGGAUGACCAACUGAAUACACACUGUGAAGUUCUGGACGUAGUUUCCAAAAUUCAGUCACUUUGCAGCUGAGGGACUCUGUCCUGUCAAUCACCUGAAAGCCUGCAGGAGUAGGGAGAAGCUGUGUUUGAAGAAUUCACAAAUAAAGUGCAUUGAAGCCAACCACUACCAUCCCCACCACACCCCUAAUUCAGGGUUCUGGCAAACCCCAAACCAGGAGUUUGGGACCAGGAGUGGUUCAGGAGGUGACCUCGACUCCUUACUCUGAACAGCUCCAAAGUGCCUGGUGCACCCAACAGGAGCUCAGCACCUCGACCUCCUGCCCUCCUGCCCUCCUGCCCUCGCCACCAGGACGUCUGGCUCCCAGAGCCUCCAGGAGGCCCGCAGCAGCCCUGCAGGUCCAGGCACACUGGGAUGUGCAUCCAGAGCUAACCCAAAAUACAGGCCCAGCUCAAGUGUCACCUCCCCACAAAGUCACUGUUUCCUACUCCCUCCCGGAAGGCUGCAGGCCAGCACCCGGCACCGGGAGUCGUGGCAUUUGGGGUUCACCCGCUCUCCCACAAAGGAAGAUGCCCCCAUGGGAACCCCACUCCACCUGCGGGCAGGGCUGGGGGAAGAAGGGCCGAGCCAGCCUCCACCCUAGGACUGCAGCCUGGGAAAGUCCAGGGCCCCAGUGCCCUUGCUGGGCAUGGGGUCUCCCUAAGUGUGCUCUGAGUCAGGGCCUCAGCCAUCCGCAGCUCCCUUGCUUCCAGAAUCUGCUGCAGGGCAGCUCAGUCUCGACCUGGCGGGGGGCCUUGGGCCAAUCUUCGCUGCCCUGGGGCAGGACCAGGGCUGCCAGAUGUGCCCCAUGCUGGGCUGGCUAUAAAGGUGGUGGUCAUUGGUGGGCAGCUGGUAGUUGCAGUGUGUGCGGGUGACAUGGGUGGUGUUAGGUUCUUGUCCAUUUUGUACCUUGGGGCUAGAAUGCAGGUGGUGACCCGAGAGUCAGGAGGGGCAGGAGAAGAAGAGACAGACCUGGUGAGUGUGACCACCCACCUCUCCCGCCAGCCCUGCUGGCUGAGGCUUGCAGAACGUGCUGCACUUGGGGAAGCAAUGAAGGCCGAGUCUUAGCAGGAAAACCAAGUGUGCGGUGCUGAUUUGCUCACUGACGCAGCAUCUGUGUAGUCUGCAUGGGCAAACAGGGGGAAGGGCUUGGUAGGAGGGCUCUGGAGGUGCACUGGGCCCUUGUGCAGCUGCCUGCUGUAGGCAUCCAGGGCAGUAGAGUCCUGUGGGGUCCCUAGAGAUCCUGGCCAUGCUGUGCUUCCAUCAUCCACACUCCUGCACUGCUGCUGGGGGCAGUGCUUCUGCCGUUGAUAUCUCAUUCGAGUCCAUGGUCAUUUUCUCAUGAUGGGCUGAUCUCACACAGUGGCAAUCAUGGAACAAAUCACUGUUCUGCGGCAUCUGCCUCCCAGGAGUGUUGCAGGUGGACAGGGGGACACGGGUGAUUGAUGGCACCUCCUGUGCGUGGUCUCUGGCCCAUUCAGGACCGAAGGUGGAAAGGGAAGCAGAGGAGCUGGCUCAAGGCAGUCCCACUGCGGGUUCCAUCAGGAGCAAAAUGUCUCCCAAUUGUGGUAAACCUUACAGGGAAACUGUCUCCUUUUGUGGGCCAGAGACAGCAUCUGCUUUAUUAGCUGUGCAGUGUAUUGAUAAUUAAAAUUUGGGCAGUCCUAUCUUUAGUCCUCACAGAGUAGUUACAUUCUGAGGAACUGAUGAAACUGCUCAGUACUUCGGGACUGAGUGUAAUAUUAGGUGGGUAAGCCUGUUGUUGGCUUUUGGUUUAUAGCUAUUAGGUGACUUUAUUUGGUAAAAAUGCAUUCAGGCUCAGUAGUGUAUUCAAGGAUGAGCACUUAGUGAAUUGUCUUUUUUUUUUAAGAUUAAGAGUAUUGAAGACUGGGUUGAGCUACCUAUGGCAAAACUCCACCAUUCCUGGGAAGGCCACAAUUGGCAAGAAAAGCAGGUAGCAAGCUUUCAUCAAGUAAGUUGAGAUUCCUGUGUUUGCAAUCUGAACAGCUCACUACUGAGCUGGGAGGGCAACUGCUCUGAGCACAACUCAUUAGAGAACUGCUCUUGCAGACCUUCCCUGAAGGAAGCACUGUUGUGGUCAGAAGCAUUCCAGGAGCUGCUGGCCAGCAAAUGUGAAUUAGACUUGAAUUUAAUCCAUUGCAAGUAUCACAAGAGUGCAGAAAGGCUGUGUCCUCAAAUGAGCAGCUCACCAAGGAGAAUUCGACUUAACCUAGAAGUUCUGUUUAUCUCCAUUUAUUUCUCAGCAUAUUCACACCAUGUGGGGAAGAUAAAUCACCCUUCAGCUCUGCAAUGGCAGUGCUCUUGGUUGAGGCUGAGGAUGCCUUUCAUUGCAUGCAGUGUUUGCAAGAGACUUAGUUCCCUGAGGAUUUAUGCCUCUCCUGUAAAUACAUUUUUGGCAUUAAAACAAACUGAAGUAUUUAUGUUUUAGUAGUAUGGAACCAACUUAAGUAUUUUGCCUACUGGCACCUUUGUCUUUAAAGAGCUAAAUCCACAGGAUUACAGGAUUGAGUAAAAACUAGAGAAUAGCUAAUCCUAGUACUAGAAAAGCACAGGGAUUAUUUGAUCAUUAGCUUCCUCAUAUUCCUCAUGUUUCUUUUUCUUUUUCUACCUUCUCUUCCCUACCUACAGAUGGUCUGGCUGUAUUGGAGGCUUUUCUAAAAACUGAAUUCUGUGAAGAAAAUAUAGGCUACUGGCUGGCUUGUGAAAACUUCCAAAAAAAUCCACCCACCCCAGAAGCUAUCCUUAUAUCCAAGAUAAAUAUAUGCACUCUUCUUAGAAAAAGGCCCCAAAGAGGUAAGACACAAUUCCUCAUUUCAGCAUAAAGUGUACACUCUUGACAUCAAGAAGCAACAGAAGAAGCAAAGACAUAAGACUAAAGCAAGGGCCAGGCAUCUGAAAAGCUUCCUCUCCUGGUGUCCUGGCUUUCAAAUAAGUAUCCCCCUACCUGGCAGGUGAAGCUCAUCACACAUUACAGCUUCUGAUUUUCACUUUCAAAGAGCAGAGCCCCCUUCUCUAACAAAGGAUAAUGAGUGAUCUUUGUUUCAGAUGAACAUGCUUUCAAACCAAAACUCUUAUUAUCCAAAAUAUACAAGAAGCUACAACUCCCAGCUUUACAGCUGCCUGGAAAAGGGUGUAUUGCUUGAUGGAGAAUAACUUUUUGAAGUUGUAUUUAUUUGCAAGGCAGAGUUACAGAGAGAAAAAAAGAGGGAAAGACAGAGGUUCACUCCCUUCCUCCAGGUCUCCCAUGUGGGGGCAGAGGACCAAGCGCUUGGGCCAUUCUCUGCUGCUUUACCCAGCAAAGAGCUGGGGAAGAAGUAGAGCAGCUGGGAGUCAAACUGGCAUCCAUGUGGGAUGCUAGUGCUGCAGGCAGCAGUGUAACUUGCUAUGCCACAGCACCAGCCCCCAGAAAGAACUCUUAUCCCUGGUCUUUCUUUUGAGUCAGAAUGCUAGCAGGACUUGUGUUGAAAACCACAGAUCACUACAGAACCCCAUGAGAAGAAAAAGGAGCCCCAGAGUAGAGUACAUGUUCUGUUUCCUAAGGCAGAAGAUUUUGACUGCCAGAGACUGACAUUAAAUUCAGCCUGGGUGUUUGAAAAACAUCCCUCACAACUGUUGAUUCCAGUUCAGGUAGUAAAUCAGGAAGCUGGUGACUGUCCAGGAGAUACCUGUAUCAGAACAGCUUCCACCACCGUGAAGACACAGGCAGGAAAUACAUGGUCUGAGUGGGGUGGGUCUCGCUGGAAAAGCAGGACUCUGAGAUGGAAGAUAAUGCAAUGGAAUGCUGUUGAUCUAGACUCACUUAAAAUCAAUAGGUCUGGGAUUCUGUGGCCUUAGCUACCUAGCUCUACAUCUUUCCUUAAAUCCAUCCAUGUCACCACAUGGUUUUAGUUCUAGGUUUUAAGUCCAAACUAAUGUAACUUGUUUAUUAUGUAGAAUCAUCCAUUCUAUUGUUGUGUAUUGCUGAACUGGAAGUGAUGUUUGAAUUGUUAAAUGGUAUUUAAAAUAGUGAGUGCUCGUGUGUAGAAAACCACAGUGGCUGUUCCAAGUGCCAAAAACUCUUGAAGGCAGCUAAGCUUUGAAGUGGUCUUUGCAUAUUUGAAUACAUUUAUUUUGAUAAAUAAUGUCAUUGAAUACUCAGAGUCCAGGUGUGAGUUGAUUUGAUUUUGGUAACUGGAAAUAUGACCAACAUAAGAUCUUUGUAGUAGAGAAGAAGCAUGCAUUACUGAAUCUGUGCAGGGAGAACUGACAGCCCCCAGAGCUGAGAUGAGCGUGGCAAGGAAGAUGCUCUUUUCUAAACCUAAGUCACAGCACAUCUUUAGAAUGACCCAGGGUUAAAAUUACUAACAGAAUCUUUUAUUAAACAUCAAGGUCUUUGAUGAGAAUAGAACAUUGACCUAAAUCCCUUCUUGAGGAUUAAGAACCAGCUAAAUAGCAGGCUGCGGUGGUGACGUCGAAGGGGUUGGGGCCCAGGGUCGGGGGUCACAGGUCCCAAUGGCUGGCCCAGAAUGGUCGCGGGCUCCCCGGGUCAUGGUCCGGCACUGCAGCACGGGGCUCCAGAGGUCAGGGGAAGCCUGCUGGGCCACUACCUGCUUCCUUCCUUGGGCAGAGGUCAGGGAUCACAAAGUGACCUAAAGUGACCAGUUCAGGGCAGAAAUCCCUGAGGAACCACUGGGUCCUGGGCCUGGCCCAUGGGUGGGGCAGAAGCAGAGGGGAGAUGCACAGGACCUGCGGGCCAAGGCUGCAGGUGUUCCCGUUGGCCCCCGGGCACCCACGGGGCCUCAGCCCCUCUCAC